UACAGAGGUCUCAAGCGUUGUUCGGAAUCACUGGGCGUAAAGGGUGCGUAGGCUGCACGGUAAGUCAGAGGUGAAAUCCCGGAGCUACACGUCCGGAAUGGCCUCCGAUACUGCCGUGCUUGAGGACUGGAGAGGAGUCUGGAAUUCACAGUGGAGCAGUGAAAUGCGUAGAUAUUGUGAGGAACACUAGUGGCGAAGGCGAGACUCUGGACAGUUCCUGACGCUGAGGCACGAAGGCCAGGGGAGCAAACGGG
rnacentral:rRNA from 1 species